CAUAGAGAGCCGGAGGGACGAUCCGAAAUCGCGUGUGCCAUCAACAUGCUCUAAUUGGACUGAUGGAAACGUACUGUCACGGUAAUCACCAGGCUAAAAUUUUGUGCAGAGAGAAGAGUUUGUCACCUGUCAAACACAGGAAUAGCGUUAUGACCAAUGGCCCAGAACCAGACGUCACGAAUACGACAUCCAUAUUGCUAGAAGAAUAUAGCAGCCGAUGUGUAAAAACGCUACUUCUACAAGUCUAACGCCUCGUAGAUUCCUGGGGUGGUGACUGAAACGUUUGUGCGUCGUAGAUCGUCUUCUCAUGCCAACAGGCCCUUAGCUACGUGAAUAAAACGACGGAAAGUGCCAAGUAUGUUUCGCCAGGAUUUUGCCUUUCAAGGUUCCUCGGCAGCACGAAACUGGCGAACGCAUCCUGAAGAUGUCCCGGACCGGAUUACUAUUUCGUUAAAGGCUUUACGGACAGAGCGUUACACGGUAGGCUGAUCGAGUUAGGCGACGAAAUGCCGGU